rnacentral:lncRNA from 1 species
GGCAAGUGAAAUGUGUCUUUAAGUGAUAUUAAUAAGUCAAAAUGUGUCUAUCAAUGUAAUUUUUUCUAGUGAACAAUAUUAUUACAUAAGAUCUUGAUAUUAUUAAUAUUAAAUAAUUAUUUUAUAAAUAUUUAAAACUUUAACAAGUAGGGUAAGGUACACCACAAGCCGUGAAGACAUUUUGAGAAUUUUUAAUAAACUGACCAAAUGUUGGAUUUUGUAUGUAACCACAUAGACACGAUUGUUGUUCUUUCAGUUUUCCAAUAUUUAUCAAAGUUGGUAUAUAAAUAUAAAUAUAAAACAUAAUAAAUAGAAACUCACAAAUUUUUGGAUUCAAAACAAAUAAAUUCCAAGAAUAUUUUCUAUAACAUCUAUUUUCGUAAUUGCUACAUACAAUAAAUGCAAAAGAUAAUAUAUAGAAACAAGAUUUUCCGAUUUAACUAAAUUAACUUGAUGACUACGCAUAGAAUAUAUUAUGUUUGACAUGGUAAUUGAAUUUAUAUUAGUAAUAAAUGGAAACUCAUAUAUUUUCGGAUUCAACAAAUUAAUUCCAAGAAUAUUCUCUAUAACAUCCAUUUUCGUAACUGAAUUUAUAUUAGUUACUAUAUAUUCUGUUUGACAUGGUAACUGAAUUUAUAUUAGUUACCAUAUAUUAUGUAAAUCAUGGUAACUGUAUUUAGUUAUUAGUUUUAUAUAAUAAAGAGAGGAUCCCCCAACUUUCUCCUCAAACCGAAGACUCUCGCUUUAAAUUAGGUCGAUAUUAUAAAUAGGCAGCACUAAAUUUAUUAAUUGACUAUAAACAAAUAUAAAAUCUAUUAAAAUAUAGAUUAGACAAAUAUUUAUUAAUUUAAAUAAAAUUUUUAAAAGAAACGAUCCCGCGCUUUGAAAGCGCGGGUCAAAAUCUAGUUAGUAGAAAUUAAAAAAAAAAACUGAAAUUUCAUCACUUUAACAAAAUAGAGAGAAUCAGUGGAGCUACUGCAAAUACUUAGGAAAAUUUAGGUAGAGAUGAAUCUGAAUUUUAUAGAAUCGUUGAGUAAAUUUGCUAUAAAAAAGAUUAACUGUUUUGAAGAUCGUGAAGAGAUCAUGGAGGUAGUGUUAGAAAUAUUAAGGAUUUGCUAUAAAAAAGAUUAACAUUUGGCAUUUCUUUCAUUUAAUUUUAUUUACUGCAUUUGAUUUUUUUAAAAAAUAUAUAAGAAAUGCCAAAUGUUAAAAUUUGAUUGGUUAUGCGACUUGCGCUUUAUUAUAUAAGAGAUUUGCUCAGUUAGAAUCUAUAUAUAUACUAUUAUUUAUAAAGUGAUUUAGCUUAUUUGUCAUAAUUUCCAUGAUUUUAUGUAAUUUUGUUUAUUUGUCAUAUUUUGAUUAGGUUUAAGCUGAGUCAUUAAUUUAUUAAUAGUUUUUAGUUGAGUCCAAAAUUUAUUAAUUUAAAUGAUAUAACUAUAAAUAUGUAAUUAGAUAUAUAAUUAUUUUGAUUUUGCUUAUUUGUCAUGUUUUCUAUGAUUUUAGUUAAUUUUUCUUAUUUGUCAUGUUUUUAUUAGGUUUUAGCUUAGUCAUUGAUUUAUUAAUAAUUUUUAGCUGAAUCACUAAUUUAUUAAUUUUAAAAAAUAUUCGUAAUGAAAUUUAUAUAUAAUUAAAAACGAAUUUUGAUAUAAUAAUAUGUAAAUCUAUAUGUUAUAUUAAUUUUUUUUUAUUUGUCAUAUUUUAUUAGGUUUUAAGCUUUUAUAUAGAUCAUUGACUUAUUAUUAGUUUUUAAUUGAGUAUUUAUUAAUUUUCACAAAACCCGUAAUGAAUUUUAUAUAUAAUAAAACGCACAUUUUAUUUUAAUAAUAUUAAAGUUAUAUGUUAUAUUAAAUAAUUAAUUAUAAACUAAUAUAAUAAAAUUGUGAAAAUAUAUUUAAAAAUUAAGAAAAUUCUUAUAUAUAUAUAUAUUGCGUUGCUAUCUGAAAACAAUAUUUUUAUUAUAAAGUUAAAAAACUAAGAUAUAAAACAGUUUAUAAUUAAAUAUUAGUCAAACAAAAAUAUUUCUAUAAAGAUAUUUUCUAAACUAUUUCUAAUAUAUGAGUGUUUUAAAACUUUUAACACAAUAAUAAGUACAUAGUUUGAUGAACGUUUUUGUGACAUAUAUAAAUAAUUUGAUGUUUGAUUUAACUAUUUAAAAUCAUAAAUAAUAACUUAAAUUGAGACUGAGUUUAAAACAAUUUUUUUUGCUUUUACUUUAAACCAGUUUAAGUUUAAUCCAUAAAACACUAUAGCGUCAGUUGGUCACCACUAGAAAAAUGAAAAAAUAAACAAAAUAAAAAAUAAAAUUUCAUUUGAAGAAUUGAAAAAAUAUUAAAAAUGUUAAUUUUUGUUCAAAUUGUUCCUUAUCAAAAUUGCACACGGAAAUUUUUUUCUUAUAAAUUCAUUCCUCCAUGGAGAAUUUAGAAGAAAAAAAUGGGAUCUACCUUUCAAUAAUUUGAUUAAAAUUUCAACGUAACUGGUAUAAAUUUUAAGGAACAAAGAAUUCACCAUAAUAUUUUCCAUCAACAUGUUCACCAAUUAGAGUUAUAUAAUGCCGAUUUUUGGAUUAGUAAGACAUAAAAUAAUAAGUAUUCGUAAGAUUAUUAUGCCCGCAUGUGUGGGCAAAACACCUAGUAAGAAGUAACGAGAGAGUUUGACAAAAAAAAAACAGGUAACGAAAGAGAGUAGUGUUUCAAGGGCAUAUUGGACAAUGAACAACUCAAAAGUGUGUGGCAAGUGAAAUGUGUCUUUAAGUGAUAUUAAUAAGUCAAAAUGUGUCUAUCAAUGUAAUUUUUUCUAGUGAACAAUAUUAUUACAUAAGAUCUUGAUAUUAUUAAUAUUAAAUAAUUAUUUUAUAAAUAUUUAAAACUUUAACAAGUAGGGUAAGGUACACCACAAGCCUUGAAGACAUUUUGAGCAUUUUUAUAAAACUGACCAAAUACUGGAUUUGAGAUGUAACCACAUAGACACGACUGUUGUUCUUUCAGUUUUUCGCAACAUUCUGCUGACGGCUGACUUCCGAUAAAUGCUGCUACGAAACAUGGGAUAAGUUCUGUUUGGACACACGCCACUUUUAUCUCCUCUUCCACGGCUGCACUGGUCAGAUCCAAAGAUGACACCAGGACUAUCACAAGUGCGAUGCAUAUUGCUCGUGUGAACUUCAUGUUUUAUAACCUUAGUGACUUCUUUUAAACUAGUUCUAAUUAAUUUUUCUCUUGAAAAUUGUUUGAGAUGUUGAUUUUAAGGUCUUGAUGGUGAAGCUAUUAUAUAGAUGAAACUCGAAUAAAGUUUGAAAUAGUAGGCUGGCGUUUUAGGUAGUGUAUUUUG